UACCAGCACCCCGAGUGGUCGGGACGAUUAUUGGGCCUAAAGCAUCCGUAGCCGGUCAUGCAAGUCCUCCGUUAAAUCCACCUGCUUAACAGAUGGGCUGCGGAGGAUACUACAAGGCUAGGAGGCGGAAGAGGCAAGCGGUACUCAGUGGGUAGGGGUAAAAUCCUCUGAUCCAUUGAAGACCACCAGUGGCGAAGGCGGCUUGCCCAUACGCGCUCGACGGUGAGGGAUGAAAGCUGGGGGAGCAAACCGG
rnacentral:rRNA from 1 species